GACAUGCUCGCGCCAUGUGGCGCGGGAAGACGAUGGUAGCUAGCGGUGUGCGUGAUCAGUUGGCGUAAAGCGGGUGUAGGUGGAUUGGUAAGGAAGGAGUGAAAUCCCAGGGCUGAACCCGUGAACGGCGCUUGAGAUUGCCUGUCGGGAAUGCGGAAGAGGUUGGUGUAACUCCCAGUGUAGAGGUGAAAGUCGCAGAUAUUGGGAAGAACACCGGUGGCGAAGGCGACCAACUGGUCCGACAUUGACACUGAGGCACGAAAGCGUGGGUAGCAAACAGGAUUAGAUACCCGAGUAGUC
rnacentral:rRNA from 1 species